rnacentral:rRNA from 1 species
UAGUGGCGAACGGGUGAGUAACGCGUUGGUGACCUGCCCCGAAGCGGGGGAUAACAGUUCGAAAGGACUGCUAAUACCCCAUGUGGUCGUACAGGUUAGAGGCUGAACGACUAAAGGAGCAAUCCACUUCGGGAGGGGCCUGCGUCCCAUCAGCUAGUUGGUAAGGUAACGGCCUACCAAGGCGAUGACGGGUAGGGGACCUGAGAGGGUGGUCCCCCACACUGGCACUGAAACACGGGCCAGACACCUACGGGUGGCAGCAGUAGGGAAUAUUGCACAAUGGGCGAAAGCCUGAUGCAGCAACGCCGCGUGCGCGAAGAAGGCCUUCGGGUUGUAAAGCGCUUUUCUGGAGGAAGAGAAAGGACGGUACUCCAGGAAUAAGGAUCGGCUAACUACGUGCCAGCAGCCGCGGUAACACGUAGGAUCCGAGCGUUAUCCGAAUUUACUGGGCGUAAAGCGCGUGUAGGCGGCCGGGUAAGUUGGACGUGAAAGCUCCUGGCUCAACUAGGAGAGGUCGUUCAAAACUGCCUGGCUAGAGGGCGACAGAGGGAGGUGGAAUUCCCGGUGUAGUGGUGAAAUGCGUAGAUAUCGGGAGGAACCACCAGUGGCGAAGGCGGCCUCCUGGGUCGCUCCUGACGCUAAGACGCGAAAGCUAGGGGAGCAAACGGGAUUAGAUACCCCGGUAGUCCUAGCUGUAAACGAUGUGGACUUGGCGUUGGUGGUGUCAAAGCCAUCAGUGCCGUAGCUAACGCGAUAAGUCCACCGCCUGGGGACUACGACCGCAAGGUUAAAACUCAAAUGAAUUG